UACGGAGGGAGCUAGCGUUGUUCGGAAUUACUGGGCGUAAAGCGCGCGUAGGCGGCUUUGUAAGUUAGAGGUGAAAGCCCGGGGCUCAACCCCGGAACUGCCUUUAAGACUGCAUCGCUUGAAUCCAGGAGAGGUGAGUGGAAUUCCGAGUGUAGAGGUGAAAUUCGUAGAUAUUCGGAAGAACACCAGUGGCGAAGGCGGC
rnacentral:rRNA from 1 species